AAAAGAAAAAAAAACAGUUUGCUUCGCGGAAGGGAAGCAACCGCACGACGCACGCGCUCUUCAGCCAUGGCGUGCGCCGCCCUGCAGCCGCUGCUCCACCGCAAACCUCGCCGCCGGCGACCUCCGCUACGCCUCCUCCUCCUCCUCCUACCACCCCCUACCUAUUAAAUCCGGCCACUUCGCACCCGGCGACCCUUUUCCUCGCAUCCGCGCUUGUCUCAUACUCUCAUAUUCAAUGAAAAAGCACUACUGUGCUGUUUUUUCCGUUCAAAAAAAAAAAUACUCUCAUUCCAUACCGAGAACUGACUCCUGGUAGGCUGAAGCCAGGAAGGUCUUCGAUGGCAUGUGAUGCAGGCACACGGCCGUGGCCCGUGUGCAACGCCUUUCUUUCGGCGUGUGCAAAGGUCCGCCUCGUCGGCUAGGCGGACAAGCUGUUCGACGAAAUGCUAUAGAGGAAAGGCGGUGAGGACCGCAAAGCUGUUCGAGGAAAUGCUAGAGAGGAGAGACAGUGAGCAGUUCACUGCCUUCAUGCGCAACAGUUGGGGGCGAUGGAGCUGUGGAGUGAGGGGGAUGAGUAUGUGAGGGGAGACACACCUAUGUCUUGGUGUUUUCAGGGGAUUGGACGUCGGCGAAAACUGUGUUCUUCUGAAUGACAUUUCUCUCUUGCAUGGUCAGCGGAUGGAGACCCUCUUCUUGACCGUUUAUGACAGUGGAGUGGCGAAUCUAAGAAAAAAAAAUACCUUCCAUGGAAGAGGAGAGCAUGAACAAUUGUUGCAGCAAGGGUUGCAAAACCAACACCGUAUGUGACAAGAAGGGAAGUACUGAGUCGAGGUGAAGAGGCCAUCAGAAAAUAUGGGGAAAUUUUGUGCCUUGUAGAAAUUAAACCAGUAUGCAAUUGGUGUGAUUAUGUACAUGACGAUGAAGAAGCCAACACCAACAUUUACAGUGGCAAACCAUGGGCUAGCAAGA